rnacentral:siRNA from 1 species
CUGAAAGGGGUAACUGUUGA